ACCAACUGAGCCACCCAGGCACCCCUACACUUACUCUGCUUGCUUACAGGGUAAAAUAAAAUAAAAUCAGAACCUGAGCCAGAAUGUUCUAGAGUUCCUUACCUUAAAAGCCACUGAAAAACAGGAUGCAUGUGUUUGAGGCUUAUUAUUUGGGCUGGCAUAUGAUUUAUCUUGCCAAACAUGGCACUCUUACCCCACAACAGGCUUAACUGUCCUGGGUAAACCAGGGUCGUGUAUUCACUCUACUAACAAUGGUGGUGGCAGUGGGGUGUAAUUUCCCAGAGUUGAGUGCUUGGCACAUUUCAUUCCUCAAGCUAAUAUGUAAUAAAGUCCCAUUGUAGGUGCUGUGAGAGAAAUAGAUACACAUCUUCUACCCUCAAGGAGUUUACAGUGUUGAGAAAGAGAUGGCUGUUACUGAGCCAAAACAAUACUGAAACAAUACUGCUCAGACCAAGGAACAGAAAAGAAGUUUAGUAAGUGGUUCCUAUGGAGACACUGAUGCUUGAUCUACGCAGUUACCUCCGUGUUCAAUUACUGAUGGUCUGUCGCAACUUGACAGAACUGAGAGGGGGUAACAUGCCCAGGAGCCAAGUAGGAGCCCAUUUGGAAGAGGAAAAAACCUCAGUCAGCUCAGGAGCCUGAGCCACUCCCUCAAGCCAAAGGUCAGAAACAAAGCAGAUUUGGGAGGCUACAAUCAAGGUCAUUUGAGAAGUAAGACCCGGUGUCUUACCCUUACCUUUGGGUGUCCACAUAGAAAUUUAUAGACACGGGAAAGGCUAGAUAAUGAGAAUGCUCCAUAAAGAGGCACCGUACUUCACCAGGGAGAAAGGCAUCCAAGUUGCUUCACAAAUGUUAAGAAAUAUGCCUAUUUAAUUGUAUGUUGCAUUUUCCCUGGUCUUUGUUUUAUUCAUUUCAUGUGCAGUGAUUAGAAAGAUAUAUUGUACAUUUUAUUAUCUCUUAUGUUUUCCAAUAAAUACAAACCUGGCAUA